UCUCUCUCUCUCUUUCAGAAGCAUGCAACUAAGUUCACUGCAUAUUAACACACACAACUUCAGCUUUCGAUGAGAACGAGGGAUUCCCUCUUCAAUAUCUGUUAUUUUGGUUUUUUGGUCAGGUGGGUACCUUGUUUUGUUUUGGUUUGUUGGGUAUAUGCUUCAGGUUUCCAUGCUGAAAUUCUUUCAAGAUCACAUUUUUUUCUAUACCAGAUUUGUUUUACUUUAGCAUUUUUAAUUAACUGUUUGGUGGGUCUUUUACUAAUCCCUGAAAUGUAUAGUGCCUUUUCUUUGAACUUUUUUAUGAAAAUGAGAAAUGCAUCAUUUUCUUUUCUAGGAUUUGAGUUAGGUGGAUUCAUGUGUUAUUUAGUCUUGUUAAGGUUUCAAAAGCUGAAUAUGUCUCGGGUCUAAACAAAUGAGCGCAUUUCAAUAGCGUUUUUGGAAGGAACUAUAUUUUCUUUUGCUUUUGCCAAUGAAAUUCAAAUAUUGAGGUUUCGGGGCUGGUUAAAGUCCAAUCUUGCGUUCAUAAUCUUCAAAGAGAAACUUCUCGGUGUCUUCCAUUGAAGUUGCAGGUUCUGGAGUUUAAUAUUUGAUGCUUCCACUUUGUCCACCACUUGAAUGAUCGAUGGCUCAGGAGGAUGAUCCAUAUCCAUCAAUGGAGAAGAGAACAUCUUUAUGCAUUUUCUUUAAGGAUUUCAGACAUGUUCUUAAACCAGAUGAACUUGGGUUAGAAAUUGCACGUAUAGCAUUGCCUGCAGCGCUGGCUUUAACAGCUGACCCUAUUGCCUCUAUGGUGGACACAGCAUUUAUAGGCCGAAUAGGCCCAGUAGAACUAGCUGCUGUUGGAGUUUCUAUU
rnacentral:misc_RNA from 1 species